rnacentral:rRNA from 1 species
ACUCCUACGGGAGGCAGCAGUGGGGAAUCUUGCACAAUGGGGGAAACCCUGAUGCAGCGACGCCGCGUGAGCGAUGAAGCCCUUCGGGGUGUAAAGCUCUUUCGGCAGGAACGAUUAUGACGGUACCUGCAGAAGAAGCUGCGGCUAACUACGUGCCAGCAGCCGCGGUAAUACGUAGGCAGCAAGCGUUGUUCGGAGUUACUGGGCGUAAAGAGUGCGUAGGCGGUUUUCUAAGUUUGGUGUGAAAUCUCCCGGCUCAACUGGGAGGGUGCGCCGAAGACUGGCGGGCUUGAGUGCGGGAGAGGAAAGCGGAAUUCCUGGUGUAGCGGUGAAAUGCGUAGAUAUCAGGAGGAACACCUGCGGUGUAGACGGCUUUCUGGACCGUAACUGACGCUGAGGCACGAAAGCGUGGGUAGCAAACAGGAUUAGAUACCCUGGUAGUCCACGCCCUAAACGAUGCAUACUUGGUGUGGGCAGUUCAUUCUGUCCGUGCCGGAGCUAACGCGUUAAGUAUGCCGCCUGGGGAGUACGGUCGCAAGGCUGAAACUUAAAGGAAUUGACGG